CCCUUAGAUGUCCGGGGCUGCACGCGCGCUACACUGAAGGAAUCAGCGUGCUAAAACCAUUGUCGAAAGGCAUUGGUAAACCCAUUAAAAUCCUACGUGAUUGGGAUCGGGAAUUGCAAUUAUUUCCCUUGAACGAGGAAUUCCCAGUAAGUGUGGGUCAUAAGCUCGCGUUGAUUACGUCCCUGCCCUUUGUACACACCGCCCGUCGCUGCCCGGGACUGAGCCGUUUCGAGAAAAGCGGGGACUGCUGCUGUCGGGGCUUUCGGGCCUUGGCUUCGGUGGAAUCCGCUUUAAUCGCAGUGGCUUGAACCGGGCAAAAGUCGUAACA
rnacentral:rRNA from 1 species